ACCACUGGUCAUAUGUCCCGGAUGAUCGGGAGAAGUCACGUGGUUCAAUUAUUAUUAUUUUUUUACGUGGUUCAAUUAUCUGUUAAUAAAAUUUUUUUACCAUGCAUUUAGCAUCAGGCAAAGCCUGCAAUCAAUCUAUUAAGACAGAAACAAUAUCUUACUUAUUAUUAUGUUGUUAUGACAAUAUCAUGUGAUCAUCUGAGUUAGAACAAAAUCUAUUCAUUUUCAGGUAUAACUGUGCAAGUGCCCUGAAUCAUUCUGUUGAAAUGUUAUGUGUUUAAGAUUCUUUAUGACAUCAAGAUGUGGUUUGGGAAGGACCUUCAUCUAAAUCUGAAGACAGGACAUACUGGCUCAAAAAGGUGUUUCUGAUAUGGAGAAAAACCCUGCACUGCUCAUUUUAUUUCUUCAUCUUGAGAAUACAGCAAGUUUACCUUUUGUCUGGAAAAUGAUUCAGCAAAGCUAACACCAACAACAAUUUUUCAUGGCACUUUAAACCACCUUGAUGUGAGGAGCCAGCAUCAGAAUGGAUGGUGUCAAUAUCCUGAAAGUGGAGGUAACAGAGUGAAAAUACAGAGCGGAGCAACACUGACAACGCGCUGACAUACAGGACAAACCAGGUUACUUUUCGGUUACUUUUGAGAUUAAACAUAUUAAACAAAGUCUCACCUUUCAAAUCAUCUCUUCCGUCAGUACACUCCGCUUUUCAAGUUCAAAUCCUCCCAUGCUAACCUACUAACUCUCCUGAACGCACAUUCACUGCUUGCUGUUAAUUUUAAAGAAACGUAGAGCAAGUAGCUAAUCAGUGUCUAGUUUAUUCAAACGCCGGGUGAGCACUGUGCAGCGCGUCUGUGGAGAGCGUUUGCUGCGCGUGGCCAUUGUGCUUUUACACCGGCUGCGUUUGCAGCGCAUAGUGUGCAGUUUAAUAACAAUCUGAAGUUCACAUUACUUUCUUUUACCUGCAUUUAUGAGCAAAACCUCUUCAAUACGCUUUAAAUCCACAUUGUUUUUGUGCUGUUCUGUACUGACAGAUAUAUAUAGACACAAUUACAGACAUAAAAAGCCCAUGGCACAAAUUUGUUUCUCUAAAGAUUAUUAAGAUAGAUGAUAGAUAGAGGAUUAAUUUAUGCUGGGCAGAGAGUGACAGCGCAGUCUUCUUGCAAUAGUGUGUUUUUUAAAUAUUUCAUUGCUUUCUGUUAAAUUGUUCAACAUUAUUACUGUUUGAAACACACUUGGCAUAACAUUCAUG